rnacentral:rRNA from 1 species
UACAGAGGUCCCAAGCGUUGUUCGGAUUCACUGGGCGUAAAGGGCGCGUAGGCGGCCUUCUAAGUCGAACGUGAAAUCCCUGGGCUCAACCCAGGAACUGCGUCCGAUACUGGCAGGCUUGAAUCCGGGAGAGGGAUGUGGAAUUCCAGGUGUAGCGGUGAAAUGCGUAGAUAUCUGGAGGAACACCGGUGGCGAAGGCGGCAUCCUGGACCGGUAUUGACGCUGAGGCGCGAAAGCCAGGGGAGCAAACGGG